AGGAAACUUAGGUUAACUUUUAAACCAAGGGCCUUCAAAGCCCUAAACAGAGGACCCCGCCCCCUAGUUUCUG
rnacentral:tRNA from 1 species